CUCCUCUAGGCACCAGCACCACUUGGUUUGCUCAUGCGCCCCGCGCUCCCGUCUUCCCAGGCUCCGCCUCUCUCGGAGGAUUUGGCCCCUUUGGGUCCCAGUGCCGCUGACCUUGCUUGUGUGCGUCACUCAGGCCCGCCCAGGCCCUGCGGCUUCCCCGCCCCCGCGGGCUACUUUCGGGCCUCUUUAGCCUCAGGCUUAUCUUGGCGGUUACUUUGUGUUUUAACAAAGAACUCUGCUAAGUCAGUUUAUCAAGAACUGCUUCCUUUCCAUCAUCAACAUCUGAUCAGUAUCUUCACAAUCCGCCCCCCUCCCCGCCAUCCCCAAGAUUGACUCUACCAUUCCCUGACGUACAUCCAUCGGCUGGAGAGAAUCACUGGACAAUGGCCAUGUCUGCUCUUUGGCUAAGAGAAGUUGCGUGGCAUCCAAAGUAUUUUGGGGCUCCUGGUUGCCCUAGAUUGUGUGAUUUGCUUGUAGUGUUAAUUAGUGUGCAUUAAAUGCUAGUUGGGGUGCUCCAGCAACCCAACACUUUUUGGAUUAAUUGUUUAUGUUUGAUAAUUGGUCUGAUCAAAUAUAUGCUUGCAUUUAAAGACAA